GGUUUCCUACGGGAGGCAGCAGUGGGGAAUAUUGCACAAUGGGCGAAAGCCUGAUGCAGCAACGCCGCGUGAAGGAAGAAGGGUUUCGGCUCGUAAACUUCUAUUAACAGGGACGAAAGAAAUGACGGUACCUGAAUAAGAAGCCCCGGCUAACUACGUGCCAGCAGCCGCGGUAAUACGUAGGGGGCAAGCGUUAUCCGGAAUUACUGGUUGUAAAGGGUGAGUAGGCGG
rnacentral:rRNA from 1 species